GUUUUAGUACCACAGGGAGAUGGAUUUGAGACUGAGUUCCAUCUUCUUGGCUGCAGCAAAGAUUAAAGCCAUCUUCCUUGGCAAUACUCAUCGUCUCAGUCAUUGACUUUCUGUGUGGCGAGCAGCAGGACCUACACAGAGGCUGAAGUGUUUCAGUAACUGUCUUGCUAUGUUGCCCAGGCUGGACUUGAACUCUAGGCUCAAGGGAUUCUCCUGCCUUAGCCUCCAAAGUAACUUGGACUGCAGGCUCUUGCCAUCAUGCCUGACUAGGAAGGGAAUUCUUUUAAGAGCAGCUUCAGAGACUGAAUUUUCAAAUUUUCAGAAUGAAUUAGAUAUAAUGUAAGAGAAGAAGAAUUUUUGGCUUUGGAAACUGGAUUGUUGGUGAUGUCAUUCAUCUGUAUUAGAAGAGGAAAAAGAAAGGCUAGUGGGGAGGAAAAAUGGGCAAAGCGACUCUGCGAAUAAAACAACAGAGAUUCCAUGGAAUACCGGAGCUGAGAUUCUGCAUUCUCUCUUCAAGAACUGCUAAGAAUCAUGAAAAUCACUCCCCCUCUGCAAAACCUCCUGAGAAACCUUUCCUUAGGGAGCUAUCCUGAUGGUUCUCAUGAUAUAUCAAUACUGUGAUCAGGAAAAAAGACCUGCGACCGCAAAUCCUGGUAAUAAAAAAUAAAAGAUUCCAGUAAGUAUGUACAAUCAACAAG
rnacentral:lncRNA from 10 species